AUUGAACGCUGGCGGCAGGCCUAACACAUGCAAGUCGAGCGAGCGGCGGACGGGUGAGUAAUGUCUGUGAAACUGCCUGAUGGGGGUGGCGAACUACUGCAGACGGUAGCUAAUACUGCAUACCAUUGGAUGUGCGCAGAUGGGAUUAGCUAGUAGGUGGGGUAAUGGCCCACCUAGGCGACGAUCCCUAGCUGGUCUGAGAGGAUGACCAGCCACACUGGAACUGAGACACGGUCCAGACUCCUACGGGAGGCAGCAGUGGGGAAUAUUGCACAAUGGGCGAAAGCCUGAUGCAGCCAUGCCGCGUGUAUGAAGAAGGUCUUCGGGUUGUAAAGUACUUUCAGCGGGGAGGCGUUACCCGCAGAAGAAGCACCGGCUAACUCCGUGCCAGCAGCCGCGGUAAUAC
rnacentral:rRNA from 1 species